rnacentral:rRNA from 1 species
GACGAACGCUGGCGGCGUGCUUAACACAUGCAAGUCGAACGGAAAGGCCCUGCUUGCAGGGUGCUCGAGUGGCGAACGGGUGAGUAACACGUGGGUGAUCUGCCCCUUACUUUGGGAUAAGCCUGGGAAACUGGGUCUAAUACUGGAUAGGACCAUGCUGUAGGUGGUGUGGUGGAAAGAUUAGUUUCGGUAAGGGAUGAGCUCGCGGCCUAUCAGCUUGUUGGUGGGGUAAUGGCCUACCAAGGCGUCGACGGGUAGCCGGCCUGAGAGGGUGGACGGCCACAUUGGGACUGAGAUACGGCCCAGACUCCUACGGGAGGCAGCAGUGGGGAAUAUUGCACAAUGGGCGCAAGCCUGAUGCAGCGACGCCGCGUGGGGGAUGACGGCCUCGGGUUGUAAACUCCUUUCAGCCAUGACGAAGCCCUUGUGGUGACGGUAGUGGUAGAAGAAGCACCGGCUAACUACGUG